GCUGUGAUGGCCGAGAGGUUAAGGCGUUGGAUUUGAAAUCCAAUUGGCGCAGGUUCGAACCCUGCUCACAGCG